rnacentral:lncRNA from 1 species
AUAGGAAAAACCCUAACUUCCUAUUACAGAAGCAGUCCCUAACCUGUUGGCCGUUUCCUAUCUUAUCUUUAGCCUCCUAUCUUAUCUUAACUUAGGUGAUCCUAACUGUUCUUUUAAUCCGAUUUUUCGAUCGGCAAUCGUCACGUGAUGUCUGGUUCUGCACAUAAUGCGCACGAGAUUGAUAUAAGGCUUAAUAAUAACGGCAAUAAUAACGGUUAAUAAUAACGGCAAGCUUGUAGCAGUAGUACGGUCAUGGCGGGGAUUGCUACGGAAAACAAGAAGAGGAGGGGUUUUAACUUUGCCAACGACGAGCUGGAGGCAUUAGUUCAGGUGGUGGACGAAAGGAAAAGUAUUUUAUUCGGCAAAUUUUCCCCAAAUUUAACGUCGCGGAUCAAAGCAAACAGAUGGCAAGAGGUGUCGGACGCUGUCUCAGCGGUUUGUGGGGUACUGAGGACGGUGGACAGUAUAAAGAAAAAGUGGUCGACCAUAGCGAGUGACGCCAAGACCAGAGGGACGCUACAGAAGAGGGACCAGGCAAAGACGGGGGCUGGUAUGCCAGAAGUGAAGCCUAUAACCAUGCUAGAGGAGAAGAUCCUGGCCACCAUGGGUCAAGUUUACACCCAAGGCAUUUCAACCGGCAUAGAGGUGGGCCUGCCUGAGGAGAUCCUUGAGAACGUCAGUGCCGAGGUGUCUGAAUCAACUGAGGUCAUACUGACGUUGAUGGAUUCAGAGUGUGACAGCAGGACUCUGCCAACAGCAAUAAUUAUCCCAUCACCUGGCAAGUUGAUGCUCACUGUUUAAAUAUUUAGAUAAAUAUGAGGUGCAUUUUUACAACGACACUGUCUCAACUGUAGCUACUCCAUUUAUGAACAGUUGAGGUUUAUAAUAGGAAGGCUACUGUUCAAGGAAAAUUGUCUUGAUUCACAGUUUAAAUUCUUCUCUACAGCUAAAAAGAAGAAACACAUUAGCCUACAAGAGGAGCUUCUGGAGUUGGAGAAGGAGAAGCUGUUGGUGAUGCGAGAGACACUAAAUGUUGAGAAGGAGAGACUGAAAUUGGAUAAAGAAAAAUUUGAAUUCAUGAAGGAGUAUUUUAUUGACCACGGGAACAAUAUUGUGAACUUAUUUGAACAAUGAAGUGAAAUAAUUUGUACACUUAUUCAAGUUUGAUUGAGUUAAACUGUUAAUUUAUUUUUUAUAUUGAAUUAAAUAUUUUACAUUAAAUUGGUAUGUUUUCUUUUUAAUUAUCUUAUCUAAAAUAAUGUGCAAUAAGAUUGUUUCUGGCAGUUCUACCAGUCUGUGCACCAUCAUGUAUGCCAUCAUGGCCUUCCUCCUCAUCUUCAACCAUGGCCGGGACGUCCUUAGGGUCCGGGAGAUUAGCAAACCUGCAUAUGUUUUGCAACACAGCAGUGGCCUUCACGAACAUCACUGCUCUCUCAGGGGAAUAUUGAAGAUAUCCCCCACUCAUAUCAUGGCAUCUCCAUCUACAACAUCAAAAGUUAAUCAGUUUGUUUGCUUACAAUGCUUUCCUUUUUGGUGUGA